GGGCAGAGAUUUAGGGGUAUUUGUGCGUGCUCUAUAUUACAGUUGAAAAGUUUAUGUGACAAGAUGAUUAACGUUUCCUUUUGUUAAAUCAGGGCUUCCCCAGCCAGGACUUCGGCUCAGACUGUGGAAUCUUCAUGUUGAUGGUAGGUCAUAACGAGCUGUAAUGCACAAAUAUUGUAGUAUCUAGAAUAACUUUCCAACAUGGACUUUUUUAAAGUUAUCUCACAUGUUGUCGCAUAAUUUUUUUUUUUGUAAGUUUGCCAUGUACAUCGUUAUGGAGUCACAGUUUGACUACUCAGUUGUAAGUACUUUUCAACACGCAGUGUCAUCCUCAAGGUUGUAUUUUGUAUUGUGCACUAAAAUGAAAUACAAACAAUUUCAGCAUGACAUGCCUGUUUUGCGGCGAUGGUGGUGCCUGUUGCUCCUGGAGAACAAUUCUUUGAACAGGUAGACAGUUUAAGUAAACUAGAUGCCCUAAUUAACUGGAAGACAAUCAAUAUAUUGUACUUAAAGAUAUAUUGUCAUGACAGUUGUGGGAAAAUCUUCGCCCACUGGACCAAAGAAUGUCAAGAGCUCAUUGCUGGAAAGCAUACUCCGGUCUUCAGGCUUAAGAGGAAGGCCGAGCAGCAGGACAUAGAGGUUAGAAAAUUGCCUUCUAAAAACAGUAUUAUCUCAGUGGGAGUCCUUCAAAAUGCACACAGUUGUAUGGAUCAACAUUGUCUCGAUGUAUUUGGUAAUUGAUGUUACUUUUCAAAUUGACUUGUCAAGGAAACCAUGACGCAGACAGCAUCGGAUGUCCAAAGAAUUUGCAUGGCAGAUUCAAUGCAAUUCUGUGUCUACCAGACAUCAAACAACACAGGAGAGAGGUGUGUUGCAGACUCAAUUUAAUAAAUGCAAUUAUCGGGGCAUAUUCAGUGAUUUUCCAUGAAGUGACCACUUUUACAUAUAGUUUAAAUGCACGAAUCAUGUGGGAAAAUUAUUUAUACAUUCAAAUGUGCUGUAGAGGUAUAACCAAUUGGACAGCAUGUUUGUUUAAUAUUAUGUUUGUCUCUCAUUUGAUCAGAUUGCUUUACCCUGAGGUAAAAUUGAUAAAAUGGGUCCAGUGCAAGACGUGCAGGGGCUGGCUGCAUCAGGAUUGUGCCG
rnacentral:lncRNA from 1 species